UGCAGAUGAUGUAAACUAUACUUUGCUUUCUUAACAAUAAUGCAGACAAUCUCCACCAAGAUCGCUGAUGCA